GGGUUGUGAGGUUAAGCGACUAAGCGUACACGGUGGAUGCCCUGGCAGUCAGAGGCGAUGAAGGGCGUGCUAAUCUGCGAUAAGCGCCGGUAAGGUGAUAUGAACCGUUAUAACCGGCGAUACCCGAAUGGGGAAACCCAGUGUGAUUCGUCACACUAUCAUUAACUGAAUCCAUAGGUUAAUGAGGCGAACCGGGGGAACUGAAACAUCUAAGUACCCCGAGGAAAAGAAAUCAACCGAGAUUCCCCCAGUAGCGGCGAGCGAACGGGGAGGAGCCCAGAGCCUGAAUCAGCAUGUGUGUUAGUGGAAGCGUCUGGAAAGGCGCGCGAUACAGGGUGACAGCCCCGUACACAAAAGCGCAUGUGCUGUGAGCUCGAUGAGUAGGGCGGGACACGUGGUAUCCUGUCUGAAUAUGGGGGGACCAUCCUCCAAGGCUAAAUACUCCUGACUGACCGAUAGUGAACCAGUACCGUGAGGGAAAGGCGAAAAGAACCCCGGCGAGGGGAGUGAAAAAGAACCUGAAACCGUGUACGUACAAGCAGUGGGAGCNNNNNNNNNNNNNNNNNNNNNNNNNNNNNNNNNNNNNNNNNNNNNNGGGCGUUAAGUUGCAGGGUAUAGACCCGAAACCCGGUGAUCUAGCCAUGGGCAGGUUGAAGGUUGGGUAACACUAACUGGAGGACCGAACCGACUAAUGUUGAAAAAUUAGCGGAUGACCUGUGGCUGGGGGUGAAAGGCCAAUCAAACCGGGAGAUAGCUGGUUCUCCCCGAAAGCUAUUUAGGUAGCGCCUCGUGAAUUCAUCUCCGGGGGUAGAGCACUGUUUCGGCUAGGGGGCCAUCCCGGCUUACCAACCCGAUGCAAACUGCGAAUACCGGAGAAUGUUAUCACGGGAGACACACGGCGGGUGCUAACGUCCGUCGUGAAGAGGGAAACAACCCAGACCGCCAGCUAAGGUCCCAAAGUCAUGGUUAAGUGGGAAACGAUGUGGGAAGGCCCAGACAGCCAGGAUGUUGGCUUAGAAGCAGCCAUCAUUUAAAGAAAGCGUAAUAGCUCACUGGUCGAGUCGGCCUGCGCGGAAGAUGUAACGGGGCUAAACCAUGCACCGAAGCUGCGGCAGCGACACUGUGUGUUGUUGGGUAGGGGAGCGUUCUGUAAGCCUGUGAAGGUGUGUCGUGAGGCAUGCUGGAGGUAUCAGAAGUGCGAAUGCUGACAUAAGUAACGAUAAAGCGGGUGAAAAGCCCGCUCGCCGGAAGACCAAGGGUUCCUGUCCAACGUUAAUCGGGGCAGGGUGAGUCGACCCCUAAGGCGAGGCCGAAAGGCGUAGUCGAUGGGAAACGGGUUAAUAUUCCCGUACUUGGUGUUACUGCGAAGGGGGGACGGAGAAGGCUAUGUUGGCCGGGCGACGGUUGUCCCGGUUUAAGCGUGUAGGUGUGUGUUCCAGGUAAAUCCGGUUCACUUUAACACUGAGGCGUGACGACGAGGCACUACGGUGCUGAAGCAACAAAUGCCCUGCUUCCAGGAAAAGCCUCUAAGCAUCAGGUAACAUCAAAUCGUACCCCAAACCGACACAGGUGGUCAGGUAGAGAAUACCAAGGCGCUUGAGAGAACUCGGGUGAAGGAACUAGGCAAAAUGGUGCCGUAACUUCGGGAGAAGGCACGCUGACACGUAGGUGAAGUGAUUUACUCAUGGAGCUGAAGUCAGUCGAAGAUACCAGCUGGCUGCAACUGUUUAUUAAAAACACAGCACUGUGCAAACACGAAAGUGGACGUAUACGGUGUGACGCCUGCCCGGUGCCGGAAGGUUAAUUGAUGGGGUCAGCGCAAGCGAAGCUCCUGAUCGAAGCCCCGGUAAACGGCGGCCGUAACUAUAACGGUCCUAAGGUAGCGAAAUUCCUUGUCGGGUAAGUUCCGACCUGCACGAAUGGCGUAAUGAUGGCCAGGCUGUCUCCACCCGAGACUCAGUGAAAUUGAACUCGCUGUGAAGAUGCAGUGUACCCGCGGCAAGACGGAAAGACCCCGUGAACCUUUACUAUAGCUUGACACUGAACAUUGAGCCUUGAUGUGUAGGAUAGGUGGGAGGCUUUGAAGUGUGGACGCCAGUCUGCAUGGAGCCGACCUUGAAAUACCACCCUUUAAUGUUUGAUGUUCUAACGUGGACCCGUUACCCGGGUUGCGGACAGUGUCUGGUGGGUAGUUUGACUGGGGCGGUCUCCUCCUAAAGAGUAACGGAGGAGCACGAAGGUUGGCUAAUCCUGGUCGGACAUCAGGAGGUUAGUGCAAUGGCAUAAGCCAGCUUGACUGCGAGCGUGACGGCGCGAGCAGGUGCGAAAGCAGGUCAUAGUGAUCCGGUGGUUCUGAAUGGAAGGGCCAUCGCUCAACGGAUAAAAGGUACUCCGGGGAUAACAGGCUGAUACCGCCCAAGAGUUCAUAUCGACGGCGGUGUUUGGCACCUCGAUGUCGGCUCAUCACAUCCUGGGGCUGAAGUAGGUCCCAAGGGUAUGGCUGUUCGCCAUUUAAAGUGGUACGCGAGCUGGGUUUAGAACGUCGUGAGACAGUUCGGUCCCUAUCUGCCGUGGGCGCUGGAGAACUGAGGGGGGCUGCUCCUAGUACGAGAGGACCGGAGUGGACGCAUCACUGGUGUUCGGGUUGUCAUGCCAAUGGCACUGCCCGGUAGCUAAAUGCGGAAGAGAUAAGUGCUGAAAGCAUCUAAGCACGAAACUUGCCCCGAGAUGAGUUCUCCCUGAGACUUAGAGUCUCCUGAAGGAACGUUGAAGACGACGACGUUGAUAGGCCGGGUGUGUAAGCGCAGCGAUGCGUUGAGCUAACCGGUACUAAUGAACCGUGAGGCUUAACCUUACAACGCCGAAG
rnacentral:rRNA from 1 species